ACAGUUUGAUCUGGCUCACAACGAACGCUGGCGGCAGGCCUAAUACAUGCAAGUCGAACGAACCUUCGGGUGAGUGGCGCACGGGUGAGUAACACGUGGGAACGUACCCUUCACUGCGGAACAACGUCGGGAAACUGACGCUAAUACCGCAUAAUGUCUCCGGACCAAAGAUUUAUCGGUGAAGGAUCGGCCCGCGUUAGAUUAGGUUGUUGGUGGGGUAAUGGCCUACCAAGCCUACGAUCUAUAGCUGGUCUGAUAGGAUGAUCAUCCACACUGGGACUGAGACACGGCCCAAACUCCUACGGGAGGCAGCAGUAAUGAAUAUUGUACAAUGGGCGCAAGCUUGAUCCAUCCCUGCCACGUGAGUGACGAAGGCCUUAGGGUUGUAUAGCUCUUUCACGUGCCAAUAUAUCGACUGUCACACCCUAAGAAGCCCCGGCUAAAUUCGUGCCAUCAGCCGCGGUAAUACGAAUGGGGCGAGCGUUGAUCGAAAUCACUGUGCAAAAUCGUAUGCAUGCUGACAUGCCAGUCAGAUAUGACAUCCCCGGGCUUACCCUGCAAUGGCUCUUGAAACUGCUUGUCUAUAGU
rnacentral:rRNA from 1 species